rnacentral:lncRNA from 1 species
GGCGCCUCUCCCCCAGCCUCGCUGCCGCCUUGCAGUUUGAUCUCAGACUGCUGUGCUAGCAAUCAGCGAGACUCCGUGGGCGUAGGACCCUCCGAGCCAGGUGCGGGAUAUAAUCUUGUGGUGCGCCGUGUUUUAAGCCCGUCGGAAAAGCGCAGUAUUCGAGUGGGAGUGACCCGAUUUUCCAGUGAGAUGAACCCGGUACCUCAGAUGGAAAUGCAGAAAUCACCCGUCUUCUGCGUCGC